rnacentral:rRNA from 1 species
AUUGAACGCUGGCGGCAGGCCUAACACAUGCAAGUCGAGCGGAUGAAGGGAGCUUGCUCCUGGAUUCAGCGGCGGACGGGUGAGUAAUGCCUAGGAAUCUGCCUGGUAGUGGGGGAUAACGUCCGGAAACGGGCGCUAAUACCGCAUACGUCCUGAGGGAGAAAGUGGGGGAUCUUCGGACCUCACGCUAUCAGAUGAGCCUAGGUCGGAUUAGCUAGUUGGUGGGGUAAAGGCCUACCAAGGCGACGAUCCGUAACUGGUCUGAGAGGAUGAUCAGUCACACUGGAACUGAGACACGGGCCAGACGCCUACGGGAGGCAGCAGUGGGGAAUAUUGGACAAUGGGCGAAAGCCUGAUCCAGCCAUGCCGCGUGUGUGAAGAAGGUCUUCGGAUUGUAAAGCACUUUAAGUUGGGAGGAAGGGCAGUAAGUUAAUACCUUGCUGUUUUGACGUUACCAACAGAAUAAGCACCGGCUAACUUCGUGC